UAACCAUCGGCUAUUCGCGGCCUGCAUCAUCAUAAGACACAUAAAUGAUUUUGUCACUAAAUCUUAAAAGAAACUUACAUUUUCAUCUGAAAACCAAUGUUCCUUUCUUAGUGCAGCUUUCCACAUGGUCAAUGAAAGCUUGUCACUUGGAGGCUCUUCUGCGCAUUGUGUUUUAGUUACCGCGUAUAGCACUAUGUUUCGCAUGCACUUCACUGUUUGAAUGAAAUCUGGCGGAUCGCAUCGUUAUAUAUUCAUUUGCUUCGUCGGAAAAUAGACAACGACCACUUAUUCCAAAUACUUUUUUUGACGUCGAACUAGUUUGAGGUGUUGACCAUGCCAUGAUUUCCUGAUAAAUGUGUUGUAUAAUGCCUUGAUUCACUAUAUACACGAUUAGCAAAUGCUGCUUGAUCACGUUGGGCAAGCUACUUUACACCUGUGUCCUCAUUCCGGAUGGGGAACAAUCUUAGCAAUGUUCAGUGUGACGUUUUAAGUUCACCUCGGAUACUAUUUUUGCUGUAAAUUGACGUUAUCUCAAAAGACGUAUCAUAUGAGCACAUGAAAAAUUAUACUAGUUGGAGAAAAAACCUUUAGCCCAUUUUACAAAGGAGGAUUUUUUCCCAGUCUCUUAAUGUAGGAAUAGCUAUCAGAAGUAGUCGUAGGUUGAUCUCACUGGGUCGUGCUCUCUGUCAGCUAAAGUAAAAACAUUAAAAUUUGAUACACAUAUAAUCAUUAUAUAUAAUCACCUUUUUAAUGAUAAUCGUGAUACAAGGGUAGCAUAAGUAUAAGGCGCAAAAGACAAGUAAUCAUUACCAUGAACUUAUGUCACUGCCAAAUAUAGCACAAAGAGCGGGAAAUAGGUCAAAUAAAGCUCAAAAACUGAGUAAUAGUUACUUUGGAACCACUCGCAMGAAUGGUUAUGUCAAUCAUUGUUAUACCGUAUAUGGUGAGCUAGCUCUGGUUUAUAAGGCUUUGGGGCUAGAAGCGGGAAAUUCAAAAGCUUUUCCGGCCUCUAAAGGGUAAUCAACAGAAGCGGAGAAGAGAGAACAUUCGACAAUUUCUUCGACUCCACUUCUUUAUGAGUUUGGAUUUCUAACCUCAUAUCCAAAACAGACRAAUGAACUUUUYAUAUGGUGAGUUUUUCUUAAUAGCCAAGGAUUUUACAACCAUUCUUGAUUCCAUAUUUGGCGGGAAAAAUGUGAAUUAGUUGUUUUGCUUUUCCRCUUGUGAUAUUUGAUCUAACUUAUAUGUUCAUAUUGAUUGCAAGUUGUUAAAACGGGAAAGAGAAGAUGAGCGAUUCAGAAUCAGAUCCCGAUCGUUCAGUAAGUUUUUUGUUGAAAUUUCAUGCCAACUGUACUUCGAAUAUCAAUUCAAUUUAUGACUUAAAUCUACAAGGUGAUGAUAGACGAGGCUUCAAGAUGGCACGCUACCUGCUCAUCAGGCGAGAGUACAGAUGAAAAUGAACGGGAAACAGUGGUACGAAAUAACAUACUGUAUACAUAUUUAUUUCUUUAUAUACAGCUGGGCUUAACACAUUUCAUUAUAGGAAAAAGCACUACAGAGAUUUCGCUCUUGUCAGCAAGAGCUGAAAUCAUCGAUUGCAAGACAAAAAAAUCUAUCUCGCCGAAAGCGGAAAAGCAACAGUGUAAGUUUGCGUAUACAAUAAAACAUUUCAAUAACUGAAUAAGUUAUAAAUGUAUUUUUGUUCUUUUUCGAAGAAACCACGUCAUGUUCGCAGAUCAAAAGCACUAGAAGAAACUCAAAUUAAGAAGGUGCUUUCACUGCGGUGUUGUAAGAAAAACACCUGUUUAAAACAAUUUGAGACUGGCGAAGUUAUGAAGUGGAGGACAUCCUUCUGGGAACAGUCAGAAGACCAACAAAGGCAGUUUCUGUUGACUGCUUUCUCGCUAAAUAUGCACUAUGGAGAAAAUCAGAUACGAAAGUAUAACUUCAGUAUUUAUGGGAAAUCAGUAUGUCAUAACGCGUGGUAUAAGUUACUGGGAAUUUCUAAUGGAUGGUUUUAUGGUUUGCUAAAAGAAUACGACGAGGGAAGAAUUUCAGGACAAAGCAACCGAAGUGGGAUUACUUGGAUGUCUGCGUAAAAAAAAAAAAAAAUGCGUAAAGCUAUUGCAUGGCUUAAAAGUAUGUUUGCAAGUAACAGGUUACAGCACUGAAGAUUAAGAAGUUUCGAUUAGAUCACUUUUAAUGCGGUUUCUUUUAGGGCAUGUGGAAAAUCAUGGCGACAGAAUGCCGAAUGAAGACAGAAUUUGUUUGCCAAGUUGUCAAAGCAAGAAUGAGCUCCACAAUCUCUAUAAGAAAGACUGCUUGGCUAGUAAGACGGWGUACAUAGGCAAGUCAGCUUUUAAAAGCAUGUGGAGGAAAGUUUAAUUGAAGUAAUGGACUGAAAAAUUAUUGCCAGAAACAUGAAAACGUUACUAAUAAACAACAACAACAAAGAAAACCCUACAGCAAGAAUGUCAAAUGCCCAAAGGAAUUGGUGGGGGUCAUUUAUAAAGCAACAGCAAAAAACAAAAGACAUGUGGGACGCGAUGACUCAAGCUGAAAAAGAUAAAUUACCUAACAUUGGUAAAUUCAAGGAGGACAGUGAACCACAGCUGUCUGAAGAAGCUUUGAGACAGCGAGAUUAAUUGAAUAGAUUAGAGCAGAAACAGUGCAAGUUUCCCAGGAUCAUAGCAGGAAAAAACACUGAAAAGACGGCAGAUAAAAAAGCCAAGAGAAGAGGAAGGAAAAGAAAAGAAACAAGAGAGCAAGAAACUGAUAAGGAAAAUUCUGAACCGAAAAAGAGAGGAAGACCCCGAAAGACAAAACAGUAGAGAUUAGUUAAAAUAAUAAUAUUAAUUCCUUAGUAUCAUAACAGUUUUCAUCAUCUAGAUAUCUUAUGCGAAUUUGAUCACCGCUAAAUGUGAAAUGACUUUGAAGUCAUUGCUUGAUCUUGGAAAGUAAAUCUGAAUACGAUUCAUUGCAAUUCAUGAAGAACAAUCCACAUUUUGAAAAGUGUUCUCCGUAAAAGACUUUCACGUGGUAUUCCGCCAUCUUACGCAGCAAAUGCCUUUUUCUAAUAUCACGUGACCUUUUGGGAUAUACCUUUAAUUCCACUGAUAGCAUUUGGAUUAUCUUCUCUAAUAGCGUAAUUUCCGCAGCAUCACGUCUAGCUGAAAACAUAAUUAAGAAAACAACCCUUUUUGGGGGGAGGGGGCUUGAUUUUUAGCCACUACGCAGGCUGAGUUAUUUUUUUUCUAUUGCUUUCAGAUAAAUAAAUUCACGACUACAAAAACUCUCGUUCAGAGUCGUUAAAACUUCAUUAUUGACAUUGCCCCUAUGAUAAAAAUGGGAAAUAAAGACCAAUAGACCCGAUAUAGUGGUGAAGAAUAAGAAAGAGAAAACCUGCUUGCUUUGGCUUGUCCGGAAAGGCUGACGGCGAGAUAAGCGGCUUUUCGUCGUUAUUCCAGCCGUUAUUUCGGAGACCACUUCAAACUGGGCCUCGUAGUCUUCUCAUGCAUUAUCCCUUCAUACGUAGCAGGUUGGACUCGUGGAUUUUUGAGCUGAGAUUUGUUUUCGACAUCGUCCCCUUUCAGUGGCGUCAAUAAUAUCAGUGUUACUAGAUAUUCUCUGCUAAUUCACAUUUAGCAAGAGCUCCGAACUGUUCAUCGUAUUUAAGUUGGCUUCCG